AAGGGCAAGGCAAAGGUGUCCCCUGAAAACAGAGGCCUUGAACAGCUGGCCACUGCUGUGAUCUCGUAAAAGAAAGCCAGGUUCUCCAGCCACCCGGGCACAGUGAUACUCAGCAACACGUCACACAGCAGCACCUGAGUUCUGACAGAUCCCAAUGGCACAACACAGGGACCCCUGUCUGCGACGGUCACUGUUUCUUCCAGUUAGUACCCAAAAUGUUCCUGCAGAGGCAUCACACUAGGUGACACGCUUUAUAGACUGAGGAGAAAGUGGAUGCAGAGAAGAGCAAGAUCUCCGAAGCCUCCACGCUGUGUGCCUUUACUUCUACUACCAUGGGCUAACCAUCUGCUGCCAGAGCUGUGGAGUGUGACAAUGGUGUUUGUGUCCAAUCUAUCAAACGCCAUUAUCACACUAAAUAGCUACUGGUAGAUGAGACUUCGAGUCAGAGAAGUUAGUGAAUUAUAGCAAUGCCUUUAUCUGCUGUACUGAGGAAUAAAUAAGCUUUCUUCAUUUCAGGAAGGCUCCUUUUAUAAGCGGACCCACAGUUGUACGUGGGAAAAGCACACCCUGCCACGUGCCUUUCCAGAUCCCUACCGCAGAACACACAAGAGUCACCUACAGGAAUCACACCACCAGUGUUAGGAAUGUGGAUUUCAGUGGAGUCAGUGCAGCUGUGGUUGCCUCUGGAAAACGAGGUUGGACUGAGAUUUUCCUGUUGGAUUGACCGUUGCUGUAGAGUACUGCAGCCAAUUACCUGGUGAACUCAAAGCCUGGUUGUUAUUUUUGCACCAAAGUAAAACACACGUGUUUCAAACAA